rnacentral:rRNA from 1 species
UUUAUGGAGAGUUUGAUCCUGGCUCAGGAUGAACGCUGGCGGCGUGCCUAAUACAUGCAAGUCGAGCGAACGGACGAGAAGCUUGCUUCUCUGAUGUUAGCGGCGGACGGGUGAGUAACACGUGGAUAACCUACCUAUAAGACUGGGAUAACUUCGGGAAACCGGAGCUAAUACCGGAUAAUAUUUUGAACCGCAUGGUUCAAAAGUGAAAGACGGUCUUGCUGUCACUUAUAGAUGGAUCCGCGCUGCAUUAGCUAGUUGGUAAGGUAACGGCUUACCAAGGCAACGAUGCAUAGCCGACCUGAGAGGGUGAUCGGCCACACUGGAACUGAGACACGGUCCAGACUCCUACGGGAGGCAGCAGUAGGGAAUCUUCCGCAAUGGGCGAAAGCCUGACGGAGCAACGCCGCGUGAGUGAUGAAGGUCUUCGGAUCGUAAAACUCUGUUAUUAGGGAAGAACAUAUGUGUAAGUAACUGUGCACAUCUUGACGGUACCUAAUCAGAAAGCCACGGCUAACUACGUGCCAGCAGCCGCGGUAAUACGUAGGUGGCAAGCGUUAUCCGGAAUUAUUGGGCGUAAAGCGCGCGUAGGCGGUUUUUUAAGUCUGAUGUGAAAGCCCACGGCUCAACCGUGGAGGGUCAUUGGAAACUGGAAAACUUGAGUGCAGAAGAGGAAAGUGGAAUUCCAUGUGUAGCGGUGAAAUGCGCAGAGAUAUGGAGGAACACCAGUGGCGAAGGCGACUUUCUGGUCUGUAACUGACGCUGAUGUGCGAAAGCGUGGGGAUCAAACAGG